UAGAAAUGACUUCCCCACCGGCGUCCAGCGGGGGAGCGACGGGCCCGGCGGAGACGCGGCCGCCCCUUCGGAGGAGACCUGCGCCCGGCACCGCGGGCACCUCCCCGCUCCAGACCUGACUGGAAGUUCACAGACUGGGAUAUAGUGGGAAGACGCAGGACAUCUCUGUGCAGGCAAGGAGAGAGCUUGUGCGACAUUCUGCAGCAAAGAUAAGAAACUCCCCAUUCGGCAUGAGCAGCGCAGGAGAGGAAGGUGGAGGGGGCUUCUUCCUGGCUAACCUCCCCUUUCCAGUUCCCCCGGUCUCCUCCCCUCUCCCCGGGAUCAUCCACCCUGCAUGGAGUCCUCAACGAGUGCACGCGGAAGACAAAAAAGAGCGGCUGAGAAAGGCAGCGCCCGCGAACACAAAAUCUGCCACGCCAGGCCAUGUUUGCUGCCGUUUGUAGGCUGCUAGGUGCCAGGAAGCCAUUUUGAUGGAAUCAAGUGCUGUGUGUAAGAUGGCCGCAUUGGCAUGAGAUUCCUGUCACCGGAGACGGUAAAGAACAUGGGACGCAUUGAUUUCACCAGAGCCGAAACUGCGCUUUGCAUCUGUCAAUUUACCAGCAACUCACCCCUUGCUAACAGCUCCAAAAAGAGGCUGCUUUCCACAACGGGCCUCGAGGGCUUCUGGAUUGUGUGUGCAACCCUUGUGGGUUUUGGAGGGUGAGGGCUGGGGGCCAGCGAGCACCUUGGUUGUGCAUGUGUUGCAGGAGGUCUUUCUUGGGAGCCUUUUGUGCCUGCCUACCUUUCCUGCUGCUUUCACAGAACCCCCUGG